CCUACGGGUGGCAGCAGUGGGGAAUAUUGCACAAUGGGCGAAAGCCUGAUGCAGCGACGCCGCGUGAGUGAAGAAGGCCUUCGGUUUGUAAAGCUCUAUCAGCAGGGAAGAAAGUGACGGUGCGUAAGUCAGCACCUCUGGAUAACUACGUGCCAGCAGCCGCCGUCAUACGGCGGGGGCACGCGUUCUCCGGAUUUAAUGGGUGUAAAGGGAGCGUAGGCGGCAGUGCAAGUCGGGAGUGAAAGCGGGGGGCUCAACCCGCGGACUGAUUUGGAAACUGGACGGCUGGAGUGCAGGAGAGGUGAGUGGAAUUCCUGGUGUAGCGGUGAAAUGCGUAGAUAUUAGGAGGAACACCAGUGGCGAAGGCGGCUUACUGGACUGUAACUGACGUUGAGGCUCGAAAGCGUGGGGAGCAAACAGGAUUAGAUACCCUUGUAGUC
rnacentral:rRNA from 1 species